rnacentral:rRNA from 1 species
UACGUAGGGAGCAAGCGUUGUCCGGAAUCAUUGGGCGUAAAGCGCGCGUAGGCGGCUUUGUGAGUCCGUUGUGAAAGUCCAAGGCUCAACCUUUGAAAGCCGAUGGAUACUGCAGGGCUAGAGUCCGGAAGAGGCGAGUGGAAUUCCUGGUGUAGCGGUGGAAUGCGCAGAUAUCAGGAGGAACACCGGUGGCGAAGGCGGGUCUCUGGGCAGUAACUGACGCUGAGGAGCGAAAGCGUAGGGAGCGAACAGG